GACGAACGCUGGCGGCGUGCCUAAUACAUGCAAGUAGAACGCACAGUUUAUACCGUAGCUUGCUACACCAUAGACUGUGAGUUGCGAACGGGUGAGUAACGCGUAGGUAACCUGCCUGGUAGCGGGGGAUAACUAUUGGAAACGAUAGCUAAUACCGCAUAAUAUUAAUUAUUGCAUGAUAAUUAAUUGAAAGGUGCAAUUGCACCACUACCAGAUGGACCUGCGUUGUAUUAGCUAGUAGGUGAGGUAACGGCUCACCUAGGCGACGAUACAUAGCCGACCUGAGAGGGUGAUCGGCCACCCUGGGACUGAGACACGGCCCAGAAUCCUACGGGAAGGAGCAGGAGGGGAUCUUUGGCAAUGGACGAAAGGCUGACCGAGCAACGCCGCGUGAGUGAAGAAGGUUUUCGGAUCGUAAAGCUCUGUUGUAAGAGAAGAACGGGUGUGAGAGUGGAAAGUUCACACUGUGACGGUAUCUUACCAGAAAGGGACGGCUAACUACGUG
rnacentral:rRNA from 1 species